CCACACUUCACUUCCCAAUUCUUCAGGCUCCAGUCAUGAGCUGUAACACACCUACGAUAAAAUCACAAAGUUCGAAAGGAAAAAGAAGACAGAAUUCAGCAAGAAGUUAAAAUUAAAGUAUAGUCUUCAAGGCCUGAAGAUGUGGAUCAGAGAAGAAAGCAGCGUACGGCUCUUUUCUCAACAAAACCAGACGCUAAAUGAACCACGAAGCUACUUUCGUCCCUCUCACCAUGUCCGUCACUCUGGGAGACACAUCCACAACCACACUUGGCCGAGCAGCUCACAAGCCUGGCCUCAGGAGAACACGGCACCAUCCUGUUACUUCACCUUCGUCAGUAGAGCUGUGCUGUGGAACAGAGGACUCCACCAACACAAGAAAAUCAGAGGCAUGUGCAGUGUCUAAGUGAUUACACCAGGAGGCACUUUGCUGAACCUCUCCCUAGUUUACCAGCAUCUCCACAUCCAAGCAUCGCCUCUUCAGACGUCUCUCCCUUCUAUCCAUCACCUCCUGCCCAAUCAGAGACCAACCAAGAAAAAUCUCCAUCUUUCUCUCGCGUCUCUUCGAAGCAGUCUACCCCAGCAGUGCAUGAAGAGGAAGGAAACAGUGCUGCUCCUUCUGCAGAGCCUUUCUCCCCAAACCUUAGCUCUGAGAACUUAGAAGAUCCUGAAGGUCCUGAAGUGACGACCCCGGAGACAAUGACUCCUGAAACCCCUUCAACCCCUGAAACCCCUCGAACCCCAGCGACCCCAAAUUCUCUUUCUGACUUCAGCCACCCUGCGUCCAGUCAAUUCAGCUGUAGGACAGACCUGAGCAGCAGCUUUUCCAAUGCUCACUCAGUAAACUUGAGUGACAACAACGACAGCGACCUUCCAGAUGACCAUGAUGAUGAUGAUGAUGAUGAUGAUGAUGAUGAUAAUGGCAACAGUGAUGACCUAGAGGCCUGCUCUUCCUCCCUGUCUGAACUUCGCUUCAGUUCUCUCAAUGACUCAACCAUGGCCUUUCGUACACCUCCAGUAUCUCCUCAACGCAGUCUUCCCAAGUUCCUCACCUCUCACAGCUCACAGACAUCAUCCACCAGCUUAAACCCCAAUCAAGAGAGCUUAAAGUUCACCAAUCACCCAAUCCAUGACCAGAACCUUCCAGUGAAACUUACAAACCAAACAAAUAUCGAUGCAUCUCCAAGCCCAUGCCACUCAACUCCUAAAUUUCAGUCUAUAACUCUGCCUUCAUCCUCUCCAGUACAGACUCAGAGUUUUAAAGGCUCAGACUGGAAGGACUUCUACUUGCCUGUACUUCCACCAAUCACACCUCAACAAAGAGGUGAGUUUCUCAGUUUCUCCAGCCCACAGGCUAAACACAUGCAGAAAAAUUGACGCCAUUAUCCUG
rnacentral:lncRNA from 1 species